AUGAGGCCAAUUUUCUGCGGGAACCUUGAAUAUGAUGCCCGCCAGUCUGAAAUCGAGCGUCUUUUCGGCAAAUAUGGAAGAGUGGAGCGAGUUGACAUGAAGACAGGAUUUGCGUUUGUCUACAUGGAAGAUGAACGUGAUGCUGAAGAUGCUAUCCAUAGACUUGACAGAACUGACUUUGGUAGAAAAGCGAGGAGACUGAGAGUCGAAUGGACAAAGGAGGAUCGCAGUGGUGGUCGGAAAGGAAAUGGGAAGAGAUCUCCAAGCAGCGUGAAACCAACCAAAACCUUGUUUGUGAUUAACUUUGAUCCGAUCAACACAAGGACAAGAGAUCUGGAGAAGCACUUUGAUCUGUAUGGCAAGAUUGUAAAUAUCAGAAUCAGAAGGAACUUUGCAUUUGUCCAGUAUGAAACACAGGAGGAUGCUACUAAAGCUCUGGACGGUACCAAUGGAAGCACUGUGAUGGACAGGGUCAUCUCUGUUGAGUAUGCACUUCGUGACGAUGAUGAAAAAAGGAACGGGUACAGUCCAGACAGGAGAGGAGGCCGUGAUAGAUCUCCUGACAGAAGGGACAACCGUGGUAGGUCGGCAAGUCCUUAUGGCAGAGGGCGAGAAAGGGGCAGCCCAGACUAUGGCAGGGGCAGGGAGAGGGGCAGCCCGGACUAUGGCAAGGGUGGUGCCAGAGAUAGCCCUGACUAUGUCCGUGGUGGAAGCCCAUACGGCGGCAAAGGGGAUGACAGGGCUAGCCCCAAGUAUGACCGUGAACGCCGUGAAGCCAGUCCUGCCUAUGACAGGCGCCGCAGCCGCUCGCCUGCAAGGUCGCCUGCAAGGGAAGAUAGGGACUGA
rnacentral:rRNA from 1 species